UGGCUGGCCAAGAAAAAUUGGCAUCUGGCAUACCUAGGAAUCAUUCAAAAUAGUUUAAUAGGAAGGACAUUUUGAGGCCAGCCAGCAUUAUGACAUUUGUGGGUCCUACGGCAUUUCACCUUGGAAACAUUUUCCUGGGCAUCUAAAAGUAUUGUGGACCUGAGACACUGUGCUUACAGGGCCUACUGGGUUGAUUCUAAAGAAGAAAGAAAAUCUAUAUGCAUGAAAAGAUGUCUUAAAAAGUUUUGAACUACUCAAAGUUAAGAUUUGGGGAAAUAGAAAUAGUAUAUAACUUAAGAAAAUUGCCACUGGCUGUGAACCCCCAUGGCAUUUUCUUUGCACUUUUUUGCUUCUCGUUAGAUUGUAUGUGUUUUUACCAUUUCACACAAACUUUUAAAGAUUAUUCCACGCCGUUAGCUCUGUGCUUCUA
rnacentral:lncRNA from 1 species